rnacentral:rRNA from 1 species
AAGUCGAGCGGACCGACGGGAGCUUGCUCCCUUAGGUCAGCGGCGGACGGGUGAGUAACACGUGGGUAACCUGCCUGUAAGACUGGGAUAACUCCGGGAAACCGGGGCUAAUACCGGAUGCUUGAUUGAACCGCAUGGUUCAAUCAUAAAAGGUGGCUUUUAGCUACCACUUGCAGAUGGACCCGCGGCGCAUUAGCUAGUUGGUGAGGUAACGGCUCACCAAGGCGACGAUGCGUAGCCGACCUGAGAGGGUGAUCGGCCACACUGGGACUGARACACGGCCCAGACUCCUACGGGAGGCAGCAGUAGGGAAUCUUCCGCAAUGGACGAAAGUCUGACGGARCAACGCCGCGUGAGUGAUGAAGGUUUUCGGAUCGUAAAACUCUGUUGUUAGGGAAGAACAAGUACCGUUCGAAUAGGGCGGBACCUUGACGGUACCUAACCAGAAAGCCACGGCUAACUACGUGCCAGCAGCCGCGGUAAUACGUAGGUGGCAAGCGUUGUCCGGAAUUAUUGGGCGUAAAGCGCGCGCAGGCGGUUUCUUAAGUCUGAUGUGAAAGCCCCCGGCUCAACCGGGGAGGGUCAUUGGAAACUGGGGAACUUGAGUGCAGAAGARGAGAGUGGAAUUCCACGUGUAGCGGUGAAAUGCGUAGAGAUGUGGAGGAACACCAGUGGCGAAGGCGACUCUCUGGUCUGUAACUGACGCUGAGGCGCGAAAGCGUGGGGAGCGAACAGGAUUAGAUACCCUGGUAGUCCACGCCGUAAACGAUGAGUGCUAAGUGUUAGAGGGUUUCCGCCCUUUAGUGCUGCAGCAAACGCAUUAAGCACUCCGCCUGGGGGAGUACGGUCGCAAGACUGAAACUCAAAGGAAUUGACGGGGGCCCGCACAAGCGGUGGAGCAUGUGGUUUAAUUCGAAGCAACGCGAAGAACCUUACCAGGUCUUGACAUCCUCUGACAACCCUAGAGAUAGGGCUUCCCCUUCGGGGGCAGAGUGACAGGUGGUGCAUGGUUGUCGUCAGCUCGUGUCGUGAGAUGUUGGGUUAAGUCCCGCAACGAGCGCAACCCUUGAUCUUAGUUGCCAGCAUUCAGUUGGGCACUCUAAGGUGACUGCCGGUGACAAACCGGAGGAAGGUGGGGAUGACGUCAAAUCAUCAUGCCCCUUAUGACCUGGGCUACACACGUGCUACAAUGGGCAGAACAAAGGGCAGCGAAGCCGCGAGGCUAAGCCAAUCCCACAAAUCUGUUCUCAGUUCGGAUCGCAGUCUGCAACUCGACUGCGUGAAGCUGGAAUCGCUAGUAAUCGCGGAUCAGCAUGCCGCGGUGAAUACGUUCCCGGGCCUUGUACACACCGCCCGUCACACCACGAGAGUUUGUAACACCCGAAGUCGGUGAGGUAACCUUUUGGAGCCAGCCGCCG